rnacentral:rRNA from 1 species
ACGAGUACCACACCCGACCCGAUAAAGGUGAGCAAAGAGAGAGAGGAGUAGGUAAGACAAGAGGGAGGAGGCAGGGCUAGAUCUAGGGUGGCGGGUUAGGAGAGGGGAAGGGGAGGUAGAGGUACCGCUCGGUGGAGGGGGAAAGUGUAGACCGGCGCGGAGGGUUUGGGAGAGGGUGGAGGUAGCGCCACGAAGGGUUGCCCGAUGGAGGUAGACGUGUUUAUGGUUGCUCUAGGCCCAACUGCCCUGUGGCUACUAUAUCAGUAGUUGGCGGCGGGGGGCCACGGAGCACGCCCCACUCCCCACGCCCCACACAGUAGGUGAAGCCUAGACCGGCGCCGUGCCCUUACCAGGUAGCCUAGCCCGCCACUAACGUUCGAGACGAGUUUAAACUUAGCCUUAUUUGGACCGACUUAAACGUUAGACGUGAUACCUCCAUGUACGACGCUAAUUGAUCCAAAACUCAAGUAUUAGUUACAAAACGCCUGUCGAUUUAAAACAAUCGUCUGGAGAGCGGUUCGUUGAAAAUAGGGACGCUGUGACUUCUUUGUCUUCGAACGCUAGUAGUACUUCGCCGAAAGAGAAAGGUGCCACACGUGUACUGGUGAGAAUGUACAAACUAUCGAGAGUUAUAUCCAUUCACGUAAACCUUCUCACAAGUUUGUACUUAACUUCCUACUGAUAGUAUAUUCGAAGAACGAACUCUUACCGUGUCCUAUACCAUGGUACGUCAGAACUCAACUCUAUAAAAAACAAAUGUUUGUUCGUACCAAAUAAGUCGGAUCUGAUUAUGACAUGUACAUGACAUUAUAAGUCCUAGUCAUGCCCGACACCGCUCGGUAGUUGAGAAGUACGUCUUCUGCCACUGAUGCAACAACCACCACCACCAAACUCUCUUUGACUUAACUUUUCCAAGGAUCUGGAUAUGAGACACUCCAUAGUAUACGUUAACCCUAAGUUCAAAAAGUAUUAAAAGACAUCGAACUAUGACACGGUUCGGUGCUAGGAUAGAGGAGAGACGGCACCACAUUCACUACGCCCCUCCGGUCACACCAACUCCCUCUAGAACGGGCAUUCCACGGUAAACCGGAUGAGGAGAACAGGAGUCGGGCAAGUUCACGACCCUAAACUUUUCGAUCUCUACGUAAAAAAGGUCCCUCAGACUGUACCUAAAAUUUUGACUCUUCCUUCACAGUUUUGAAUAGUUUUCAUUUGUUAAACAAGGGAGAACCGGAAAACAAAUGUUUACGUGAUAAUAACUCUAUCUCUUACGUGCAGUUGACGUGUUGUUUAAUAGUACUGAAAGUUAAAAGGUUAGAAAGGUGUAUUAAAACAAACAUAACAAAUCAAACGAAAGAGAAAAGGUUAGAACGUGCAUUAAAACAACAGUUUGUCUACCCGGCACUCAAACCUAAAGCCGCACCGGCGACGAGUAAGACGGUGGAACGAUGUACAGGAGUGACGCCUGACGUGGGUCAGGCGGAGGUGACACAGGACGCGACGAAGCCGUAGGGUAAUGAGCAUCCUGUUACCGGGGCGCCGCGGCUGCAGUAGCUGGUGUCGUUACGGCUGCGACGGACCCUGCACAUGACCUAACUCCGAGACACUAUGCUCAUCUAAUGGGUUCUCCCAAGUGUGAACGUAUAGUCACAAGUGUUCAUGAUGAUCAUCAUGAUACAAAAUCCAACAACAACGACGAGGAAGCUCAACACUAUAAAGACCGUACUAGAGGAGGUCCUGGUCCUUACAUGUAAACUUAAAGACUAAACUCUACCUAGCACCUUAUUCACACAGAACAAUUUAAAUCAUUUGGGUCUUGGUCCAAUCCACAACUC